rnacentral:pre_miRNA from 13 species
CGCCGCACGGAGACAGACUGUCCUUUGGGGUGAGGUAGUAGGUUGUAUAGUUUGAGGGCUCCGCCCUGCCUGUUAGAUAACUAUACAAUCUACUGUCUUUCCUGAAGUGGCUGUGAUAGCGACGCUGGAGA